rnacentral:lncRNA from 1 species
GAAAGAAUGUAAAUGACAAAUACCCAACUGAACCAUUCAAGAAAUAACUGACAUUCACUGGAAAAGGUAAUGCAAUGAUAUUAACUUUUAAAAAUGGAUUAUUAGAUGAUUCUUUUAAAAUAUUUUGUCGUAUGUGAAUAAAGAACUGGAGGGCUAAAAAGUUUUCAUUCAAUUCGGUCAACUAAGCAGCAAUGAAAGUGAAAGUAUGACUGGAAAAUCCAGCAGAUCUCUUGAUAGCAGAGCUACAGCUGCACCACACAGAAGACACGGAGCUCAGUCUGGAAGCUCUUCCUGCGCCGACAUGAAGUCUUCAUUUACAGAGUGGAUGAUUUCCCUGAGAGGGAUGAAACCUUCUGGAAAUGAGAGCAGAAAACCUCUGAUUGACGGCAGCAGCGACGCUGGAGAUGUGACAUCAGCAAGUUCAACGCAGCCAGACCCGGACCGGGACCACAAGAACCUCCAGGAAGAGUUCAUCAGAGCCAAAACUGCAGCAGCAGUGGUAUGUGAUGGUGUGUGGGCGGUUUGUUACAGAGAGCUGCAGGAGUUUGUGCAGAGGUUCAAACAGCAGCAGACUGAGGAGCUCGGAAACAAAGCAAAGACUUGGAGAGAAAACAGGAAAACGUUUGAAACAAUAGACUUCCUGAAGACUUUGAAAACCUGUAAAGAACUCAGGCUGCACAUCCAGACUGCAGUUGGAAGGAUUCCUCCGUCUCUCCUCAAAGAUACUGUUGCAGAGCUGGAAGACAUGGAGGUUGUGACCAUGAACCUCUUGAUGGGCGUCAUUGCUAGAAUGACUGAGAGCCACCUUAAAGAUUACUUCAGAUCAGCUCAAAAAUGGCUUCCACUGUUGACUGAUUUGGUGAACUAUUUCCCCAAACGGCCGUAUGCCGCUGAGGAGCAAAAGGUGAGAAACAGACCCAGACGGGGGAUCUGGGAAUCUUUCCUGAUCUGA